CAAAGAACUUUGAAGAGAGAGUUCAACAGGACGUGAAACCGUGCUGAGAAUAAACGUGCGACUUGGAACGUUGGUGAUGAUUCAACGACACGUAGUGUUGUGCAUUUCUUCACCGUGGCGACCGUUGAGAAGGGGGUACUGAACGUGUGAUUAGAGGGCUGCUUGCAGUAACCUAUUUAUACGCGGAUGUCCGUAUCUCAAUUGGAGUACCGAUUUCGUUGCGAUGGCUGUGCUGCGACGAUUUACCGGGGCAGGACUUCGUGCGCCUGUGUUGGAAGUCCUCGUACGUGCGACACGCUCGAUGGUGUCUUGUUGCCAGAGUUCGACGUUGCUCGACCCGUCUUGAAACACGGACCAAGGAGUCUAAAUUGUGCGCAAGCCAUUGGAUAACAUCCAUAGGCGAAACGAAUGUGAUAAGGUUGGAUCGUUUGCGUACUUCCAACAUGUGUUUUGUUCGCAUUACACUUCGUCGGAGUGCACAGAUUAGUACCCGAAAGAUGGUGAACUAUGCUUGAGCAGGACGAAGCUAGAGGAAACUCUGGUGGAAGUCCGAAGCGGUUCUGACGUGCAAAUCGAUCGUCUGACUUGAGUAUAGGGGCGAAAGACUAAUCGAACCAUC
rnacentral:rRNA from 1 species